CUGGAACAGAGACUGGUUUCCCACCAGCUGCUGUUGCUCCAGACAGUGGCUGAGACUUGCUAUUGGCAGCAGCAAGACAGACAGAGGAAGCUGGGACAAGCUGGGAAGGAGAACACUGGGGAGGGGGCCACCAGCAGCAACAGAAAGCAACUGGAAAUGGCCCUAAUGACAGAGAAAGCAUAUCUGAGGGCUGAGCAUGCUCAUCUUCCUCCCCAUUCCCUGCCCCUUGCAGCCUCCCCCGACACAGACAGCAGCGUGGCCAGUGGAAGGACAUCAGAGACUUGCAUUUCAUGGGAAACAGCAUCAGUGAAAGCCACUCGACACUAAAUAAAUAAAAAAUUUCUCUUCUGAGAACAGAUGUUGGAGUUGAGCUGACUGCCUUGCCACCUGGGCAGCCCUCACCCUUUCACUGGCAUUUUUGCUUCGUGGACAUUGCCUGCACCAUUAAGGAGGUAAGCACUUGAACAGUGAGCACACUGUGCAGCAGAUUCACGCUCCGCAGGCAUGCUCCUUAACUGAGAUGUGUCUGCUCACUAUGCCGGCUCUGUGAUUUAUUGUUUGCCAGACUGAAAACCCUAAUCAACAGCCUUGUGUUCUCAGUGCGAUGUUAUGUGCUGGGGGAGCGGUAGGGUUCAGCGGAGUUCUUCUUUCCCAAUCUUCAUAGGCAAGCAGCCUCUUUCUUUCCCCCAUGCAAAGCAAGCAUUCAGUUAUUGUGGGAAAAAUCUAACUGCAGGGACAAACUGUAAACUUUUCCAGCAGAAAGCACAAGCAAGCCUGAAUCUUUGUUAUAAGCAUUUCAUUCCAGGUUUGUGCAUGGAAGACCUGGAUUCAUGUGGUGUGUGAAGCUGAGCACAGGGGCAUAGAGACUGAGGGAUUAAAUCAAAGGGAGGGUGGGGCAAAGAAAACCAUGGGAAUGAAGAACAAGUGGCCAAGAAAGACUGGAGGCGUGGAGAGGAGACGGGAGAGGAUACAGACAGCUGAAGAAUGGGAAUUGGCUAAUGGGCGAUCAUAUGAAUGGUGUGAAUCAUCCUGUGCUGAUCUCUUCUUCCACUCGUUUGAUUACCGCAGACAUCACUUGGCGUUUUUCCAGGAUGUCUUUCUGAGAAUAGAAGUCUCUCUUAUGUUUCUGGUGUGCAGGAGGUGAGCUAGGAAAAGCUGAAGACUAGAAAACAGUAGCUUUUGGAAGACAUGUGGCACCUCACUGAUCUGAAAAUAGAGCUGAACUGGAAACUUCAUUAAAAAGUUUAAGCCGUUGCCACCUGGCAGGUUUCCUAUUUUUGAGGGGGUGGUUGCUGUCCAGUAAUAUGUUUUGCUAGACUGUGGGAAAUGAUUCAUUUCUAUCUAGUGUGGCAUCCCCUGAAGAAUUCUUUUCACUGAGUUGCAUUUUUGCCUUCUCUUAAUUGAUUUGAGAUGUAUAAAUAUCAGCAUAUUAUGUUUGUGACUGGAGUCAGUUCCAGCCUUUUUGCUAACCUAAACGUACCAUCCACCAAACAUCUGAGCAUUUUCAUAAGGAACGGGAAGAUAAAUUUUAAAGGUUUGUCUUUCCUCAUGGGCUGCAGGAUUUGGCCAGUCCAGUUGCACAUAGGACGUAUUUGUGUUUAAGACUUUUCUGAAUCUGGACAGGGAUCUCUUGUACUUCAUCUUCCACCACAAAUACCCCCUUGAGAUAUAUUCAUCUGUAUAGUACUGCCAAGAAGAACUGAUUGAAGUAGCAACUAACAGUAUUGUUGACACUGUGAUUUUAAUUUCCAAAGUGAAUACAAUAAUUUUUUUCAGCUGAGCCUCAGUGCCCUUGCUGGCAGCUGUCAUGUUGGAGAGGAUGAAUGUGUCCUAAACUGUCAGAAAUCUUCUGUUGCCAGAUCCUUUCUUGAUGGUAUUUAGAACAGUUUCAACACAUCUGCUGUUUUGUUCUGGAGGAUUGGGUUGGAAGCUCUGGAGUGAGACGCAAGGAACAGCGUCAUCUAUGCCUGCUGUCAGAGCUUUUCAAACACAAAAUGUAUCAACACGAACGAUGCCAUAUGUUCUUCAUCGCUGCGAAUUGCGUGCCUUCUGACAACAAGAUAGAGGAGGAAGAUUUAUCAGGAGAAUGUUGCCAGAUGCUGUCCAGAGAACAGAGGCGGUCUGUAGCUCUGAGCUAAGGCUAAGUGCUUGUUCCAUACCAAGCCAGUAAACUUCUGGCAUUGUAACAAAUGUGUAUGAGUAUUUGAAGGUUUGAGAGGGAGACGAUGAAUAAUAACGUCUCCUAAUUGAAUAGGAAUAGAGUUAGCUUUUAAAGCCUCAGCAAGUUUGUUGGUUUUAUUUAUUUAUUUUUAUUUUUACUAUUAUUAUUAUUUGCAGAUGUUCAAAUUAAAGUACAUGCCAUUAUAAAAACAAAACAAAAGAAAAACCCUUGGAUGUUCCAAUUAUCUAUUAAAAUAGUAGUUUGGUAUAAUUUGUGGAGCCUGUGAGCUUUAGAAAGUUGUUUUGCCUGUUUGGUCCCCUUGAUGAUGAUGUUGGAAUAAACUACAAACUAACUUUGAAGAUGACAGCUAAGUGGUCUUCAGCUAGUGAUUGGUAGAUUGCUAAUUAGCUCAUAUGAAAGAUCAGGUUUGUUUCUGUGCUGACCAUGUUGCUGUUCCUACCAAACACACAACACUUUCAAAAGAUGGGAAUACAUUUUCUACUCCCUAUUCCCAGAGUAAAAAUCAGAGGAGAUAAAUCACGUGAGAAACUAGCAACCAGAAUAAGAAAAGCAUUCUGAAUUUGGAGAAAGGUUGUUUGGAGAAACAUUGAGUGAAAGAAAUGAAGAAACCUGGGGGAAAUAUACCUGCUUUGUUGAAAAAAAAAAAUAGAGGCAGAAUGAAAAAGAGAACCAUUUGCUUGGUUCAUCAGUGUGUUUUCAGUUGUGAACCAUUUGAGUGGAUACGUGCUUAAUUAUGAUCCUGCAGGAGUAUGUACAUCAGCUGCACAGUUGAUGGGGAAAAAAAGAAGAUUAAAAUGAAUACGUUCUGCGAGUACCAAGAUGGCACUUUCCUGUGGGCAGUUUUGUGGGCAUUUCUGACCAGAGAGAGAAAGGAAGGGGAUGAGAGGUGCUGACAUCUUCAAACAAGAAACAGGGUAUGAGAAAUUCACGAUGACCAAAAUUCUGACCCCGAACCAUGAAAAGAAGACACAGCGGAAAUUACAUUUGCGUAUGUCCAUAGAUCAACUUCAAUUUUAGGUAAAGUUAUGUAAAUUCUAUGUAAAUUCAAAUAGAGUGAUUAGUAAGCAGAUAUUUCUAGAACAGUAAAAUUCCCAUCCAGGAGAGCUCCCAAGCCCAUUUCCUCUCCUGCAAGAUAGUACACAGAUAAUAAUAGGUUUAACUGUAAUUGAAGUCAAGAAACUUUUGCAUAUAUGUAAAGCUUCUGGAACAUAUGGUUGUGUCAUUUAUGGGCACAAAUUCUGUUUGCCGCUAGGCAAAGCUGAACAAGAGAUAAAGAUCUUCUUUUUGUAAUUUUAGAUCUAGUAAAAAGUACCUAAAAUACAAAGAUUAAUUAGGACAACACUGGCUGGAGAGGAAGAUAUAAAUUCAGAUCCUUUUAUAAACAAUAAUAUCUAUGAACUUACACAACAAUUAAUUCAAUAUUUUUUGUGUUUCCUUUUCUCACAUGUAGGUAAAAGAAAUAUCAUUUGUUUUUAGACAAAGAAAUUAGCCUGAUAAAAUGACCUAGUACAGUAAACACCCAACUAAACUUCAUGAGGAAGUUUCAGAGUACACUUUUCUGGAUAUAUUUAGAUUAAAAAGGCCAAAUUUAGAAGAACAAGACCAUGAAAUAUGAAUUGUAGGGAACCAUGACAAAUCAAAAGUAGAAGUUUACAUUCACGUAGCUUACACUGUAGAAUCAGAAGAAGAUGCAAGUUCUGCCAACUUGGACUCUCUUUUAAAUUUGGCCCAGUAAUUAAAACAAUUACAGAUAAAAUAAAAACAAGAAUGUUCUUCAGUUUACUUAAGAACAUGCCAGUGUUCUAUUUUUAUAAAACAUGAUUUGAUUUUUGGAUGGUCACAUAUAGAACCUUGAAUUGGACUCAGUGGUCUUUGUGGGUCCCUUCCAACUUGAGAAUGUUUCUACCCAUCUACCACCAUGAAGCUAAGUUCUCUACUGUGAGUUUGUAAGCCAGCAAUCACAUCAGGCUUAUGUUGAAAUACAUUUAUAAUGGUGAUAGCUGAUUUGAAAUAAUUCCAAAUAUUGGAGCACAAUAUAUCUGUGAUUAGGACAAGACAAUAUUUAGUAUUCAAAGAAAAUAGGUGCAGGAAGUAGCAAUAUUUGAAUAAUCAGAUUAGAUAUUCAUAUCCAUGUCAAUCUAGAAGCAAUUCUUAUAAUACAUAGUGCAAGUUGGAGUAUUAGCCCACAGCAAGAUCAUUAUAAAGGAUAAAUAAUUCUUUGAAUAGUCCAGUAUUUCGUCACACAAUUCUUUACGUAGUUAGGCUUGCACAGGAGCAGUCAAGGUAAAGCCUCAAAAAAGUUACUGAGCAUGUAAUGAAAAGAGCAGACUGAGGAUUCAUAGCCAUCCAUUCAAACUGCACAGAAUGAAAAAAAAGAAUUACAUGAAAAACAAUGCACUACAGAAAUGCUUUUGAUAAGCAGCACAUGAAGCUUCAAUAGACAUGCAACGUUCAAUCUUGCUGUCUGUUAUGGAAGUUUCAAUAGAAGUCUUAAAAUGAUGGCUACUUUUGCAUUAACUUAAUUUAGUGAUCAUCACCACAGGUUCUCUGAGGAACUGAUGUUCGUUUUCUUCACGAGCAUUUUCAGGCAUCCUCUGUAGGAGACUGCCAAAAGGUUACUAAUGCAAAUGAGAAGAAGAAGCUCUUUCUUAAACUGUUAAAAGCCUCACUCCCAAUGCAGAAUUUUGUAUUAUGUACACGGUCAUAUAUUAAAAAUAAAAAUGAAGAUGUCUGACCCCCAAGAUUUCUUUCUUUCUGAAGCUGGGACAGAUAAUCGUGCAAUUUGGAUCUUGCUCAGAUAUCAGUUUGGUGCCUGAUAACCAUGCUUAAGGCUGCUAUAACGUGUGUUGUUGUGACACAUCCAUCCCAAGGAUAUGUCAAGACUGCAAGAGUGUCCCUUAUCUUGUACAUCUUCUCUAAGCAUGGAUUCGACUGUACAGGAAAAACUAGAGUGGUUACCACUAGGGAAGUAAAGAGUAGCAAAACAAUUAUUCUUACAUGAUCUACUUUAAGUACAAAGAAUUCUAAAUUGAGAAAUCACUUAAAAAUAUUUCUAAGUAAGUGAUAUCAGAAGAAGCUUAAUCAUAUAAAGAUUCAAUUAACCAAGACAAAAAUUAAGGCUUGCUGUGUCUUUCUUGCACUAAAUCAAAGCUUCCUAAGUCUUCGAGUCAUUCCAUAAAACAUGAACAAGAAAAAGAAGCAUCUCUGGUGUCAGUAACAAUUUUUUUUAAUCACUGUUUUCUUCCAGUGAAAUUAUGCAUGAACUCCAAUAAACCACACUCAAUGCCUGAGGACUGUAAGAUAUUUUCUGGC
ensembl:lncRNA